rnacentral:rRNA from 1 species
UGAACGCUGGCGGUAUGCUUAACACAUGCAAGUCGAACGGAAACGAUACUAGCUUGCUAGUAGGCGUCGAGUGGCGGACGGGUGAGUAACGCGUAGGAAUCUGCCUGAUAGUGGGGGAUGGCCCGAAGAAAUUCGGAUUAAUACCGCAUAAUCUAUUCGUAGUAAAGUGGGGGACUUUCGAGCCUCACGCUAUCAGAUGAGCCUGCGUAAGAUUAGCUAGUUGGUAGGGUAAAAGCCUACCAAGGCAACGAUCUUUAGCUGGUCUGAGAGGAUGAUCAGCCACAUCGGGACUGAGACACGGCCCGAACUCCUACGGGAGGCAGCAGUGGGGAAUAUUGGACAAUGGGGGCAACCCUGAUCCAGCAAUACCGCGUGUGUGAAGAAGGCCUGAGGGUUGUAAAGCACUUUCAAUUGUGAAGAAAAGUUAACGGUUAAUAACCGUUAGCCUUGACGUUAACUUUAGAAGAAGCACCGGCUAACUCCGUGCCAGCAGCCGCGGUAAUACGGAGGGUGCAAGCGUUAAUCGGAAUUACUGGGCGUAAAGCGUGCGUAGGCGGUUUAUUAAGUCAGAUGUGAAAGCCCCGGGCUUAACCUGGGAACUGCAUUUGAAACUGGUCAACUAGAGUAUGGUAGAGGAAAGUGGAAUUUCUGGUGUAGCGGUGAAAUGCGUAGAUAUCAGAAGGAACAUCAAUGGCGAAGGCAGCUUUCUGGACCAAUACUGACGCUGAGGUACGAAAGCGUGGGUAGCAAACAGGAUUAGAUACCCUGGUAGUCCACGCCGUAAACGAUGAUAACUAGCCGUUGGGGGGAUUUACCCUUUAGUGGCGAAGCUAACGCGUUAAGUUAUCCGCCUGGGGAGUACGGCCGCAAGGUUAAAACUCAAAGGAAUUGACGGGGACCCGCACAAGCGGUGGAGCAUGUGGUUUAAUUCGAUGCAACGCGAAGAACCUUACCUGGUCUUGACAUCCUGCGAACUUUCUAGAAAUAGAUUGGUGCCUUCGGGAACGCAGUGACAGGUGCUGCAUGGCUGUCGUCAGCUCGUGUCGUGAGAUGUUGGGUUAAGUCCCGUAACGAGCGCAACCCCUAUCCUUAUUUGCCAGCACGUCAUGGUGGGAACUAUAAGGAGACUGCCGGUGAUAAACCGGAGGAAGGCGGGGACGACGUCAAGUCAUCAUGGCCCUUACGACCAGGGCUACACACGUGCUACAAUGGGAAGGACAAAGAGCCGCGAAGCCGCGAGGUGUAGCUAAUCUCAGAAACCUUUUCGUAGUCCGGAUUGGAGUCUGCAACUCGACUCCAUGAAGUCGGAAUCGCUAGUAAUCGUAGAUCAGAAUGCUACGGUGAAUACGUUCCCGGGUCUUGUACACACCGC